rnacentral:rRNA from 1 species
AUUCCAGCUCCAAUAGCGUAUAUCAAAGUUGUUGCAGUUAAAAAGCUCGUAGUUGGAUUUCUGGUGGGAGCGAUCGGUCUGGCGCUUAGCGCGAGUACUUGCAUCGUCUCCGGCCAUCCUUGGGGAGAGUUUGUCUGGCAUUAAGUUGUCGGGCAGAGGAUCCUCAUCGUUUACUGUGAAAAAAUUAGAGUGUUCCAAGCAGGCUCUCGUCGUGCAUAGCUCAGCAUGGAAUAAUAGCAUUGGACUUCGUUUCUACGCUGUUGGUUGCAAGAAGCGAGGUAAUGAUGAAGAGGGAUAGUUGGGGGCAUUCGUAUUUAACUGUCAGAGGUGAAAUUCUUGGAUUUGUUAAAGACGAACUACUGCGAAAGCAUUUACCAAGGAUGUUUUCAUCA